GCAUAUCAAUAAGCCGGAGGAAAAAGAAACCAACAGGGAUUGCCUCAGUAACGGCGAGUGAAGCGGCAAAAGCUCAAAUUUGAAAUCUAGUCCAUUAUAUGGGCUCGAAUUGUAAUUUGCAGAGGAAACUUUGGUGCGAUCAUGGUCUAAGUUCCUUGGAACAGGACAUCACAGAGGGUGAGAAUCCCGUAUGUGGCUAUUGAUUCAAUCCGUGUAAAGUUCCUUCAACGAGUCGAGUUGUUUGGGAAUGCAGCUCUAAAUGGGAGGUAAAUUUCUUCUAAAGCUAAAUAUUGGCCAGAGACCGAUAGCGAACAAGUAGAGUGAUCGAAAGAUGAAAAGCACUUUGGAAAGAGAGUUAAACAGUAUGUGAAAUUGUUGAAAGGGAAGCGCUUGCAAUCAGACUUGUUUAUAGUUGUUUGACUUGGCUAUUUGUCUUGUUUACUCUUCUAUUAGCAGGCUAGCAUCAGUUUCAGUGGUGGGAAAAAGACCUAAUGAAAGUAGCCCCUUAUUUUCGGAUUUGGGGUGUUAUAGCUUAGGUGUCAUGCCAUCAACUGGGACUGAGGACCGCGUCUUUGACAUGGAUGCUGGCGUAAUGGUUGUAAGCGGCCCGUCUUGAAACACGGACCAAGGAGUCUAACAUUUGUGCGAGUGUUUGGGUGUUAAGCCCGCACGCGUAAUGAAAGUGAACGGAGGUGGGAAUCUUUUCGGAGAUGCACCAUCGACCGAUCCUGAUGUUCUCGGAUGGAUUUGAGUAAGAGCACAACUGUUGGGACCCGAAAGAUGGUGAACUAUGCCUGUGUAGGCUGAAGUCAGAGGAAACUCUGAUGGAAGGUCGCAGCGGUUCUGACGUGCAAAUCGAUCGUCAAACAUGGGUAUAGGGGCGAAAGACUAAUCGACCCAUCUAGUAGCUGGAUCACGCCGA
rnacentral:rRNA from 1 species